rnacentral:rRNA from 1 species
GGGGAGUGACGUCAAGUCCUCAUGGCCUUUAUCGUCUAGGGCUACACACGUACUACAAUGGCAGGUACAAAGGGCAGCGACACAGCGAUGUGAUGCGAAUCCCGAAAAAGCCUGUCUCAGUCCGGAUCGGAGUCUGCAACUCGACUCCGUGAAGUUGGAAUCGCUAGUAAUCGUGGAUCAGCAUGCCACGGUGAAUACGUUCCCGGGCCUU